rnacentral:rRNA from 1 species
GACGAACGCUGGCGGCGUGCUUAACACAUGCAAGUCGAACGGAAAGGCCCUGCUUUUGUGGGGUGCUCGAUUGCCGAACGGGUGAGUAACACGUGAGUAACCUGCCCUUGACUUUGGGAUAACUUCAGGAAACUGGGGCUAAUACCGGAUAGGAGCUCCUGCUGCAUGGUGGGGGUUGGAAAGUUUCGGCGGUUGGGGAUGGACUCGCGGCUUAUCAGCUUGUUGGUGGGGUAGUGGCUUACCAAGGCUUUGACGGGUAGCCGGCCUGAGAGGGUGACCGGCCACAUUGGGACUGAGAUACGGACCAGAAUCCUACGGGAGGCAGCAGUGGGGAAUAUGGCACAGUGGGCGGAAGCCUGAUGCAGAAACGCCGCGUGCGGGAUGACGGCCUUCGGGUUGUAAACCGCUUUCGCCUGUGACGAAGCGUGAGUGACGGUAAUGGGUAAAGAAGCACCGGCUAACUACGUG